GUUGUCUACAGAUAUUAUACCGAACAUGCUGCAUAUUAUGCUUGCAGAAGAGAGCAGCAUACCAGUAACAAAUUGCAUAUUUCAAUACUAUGUGUUUGGUUCUCUUGCAGCUACUGAGUGUUUACUUUUAACAAUGAUGUCUUAUGACCGUUACUUGGCGAUAUGUAACCCAUUACGAUACUCUUCCAUCAUGGACAAUCAUCUAUGUCUAGGCCUUAUUGUGUUUUCUUGGAUAGUUGGGUUUCUUCCAACUUUGCCAGUUGCAAUUUGUGUGUCCAAACUAAAAUUCUGCAGUCCAUAUAUCGACCAUUUUUUCUGUGAUCUUGCCCCUUUCUUGGAACUUGCCUGUUCAGACACAUCAGUGGCUCACUUGUUGGCACUUGUCUUUUCAGUGUUUGUUACUUUCU